GCGGGCAUGGUUUAGUGGCAAAACCCCAGCCUUCCAAGCUGGUGAUGUCGGUUCGAUUCCGACUGCCCGCA
rnacentral:tRNA from 1 species